rnacentral:lncRNA from 1 species
GAGAUUAGGAGGGUCUCCUCGCCUCCGAUCCCCAGCAUCGAUCGGCCAGUCGUGCUAGUGGGGGAGCUGGGGUAUGGUUGGUGUCCGUCGAUGAACGCAAUAAAUAAAUAAAACACCAGGGGCCUGCACUGCACACUGGAUCGUCAUCACUGCGCCAGGAACCAACUAGGACUGCUGCUGCGGCAUAUAGGCUCCGGCCGCCGGGCGAAAACACCCGUUAUUAUGCCUGUAUGUGAUUUCUAGCUACUCUGCACGUAGCCUGCAACUGCAGCCCAAAUCCUGUAUGUGAUUUUUUUUGUAUUGCAGGUCAUGGCUGGAGUAUUUACA